CUACAGAGGGUGCGAGCGUUAAUCGGAUUUACUGGGCGUAAAGCGCGGGUAGGUGGCUAAUUAAGUCAAAUGUGAAAUCCCCGAGCUUAACUUGGGAAUUGCAUUCGAUACUGGUUGGCUAGAGUAUGGGAGAGGAUGGUAGAAUUCCAGGUGUAGCGGUGAAAUGCGUAGAGAUCUGGAGGAAUACCGAUGGCGAAGGCAGCCAUCUGGCCUAAUACUGACACUGAGGUGCGAAAGCAUGGGGAGCAAACAGGAUUAGAUACCCUGGUAGUCCAUGCCGUAAACGAUGUCUACUAGCCGUUGGGGGAUUUGAUCCUUUAGUGGCGCAGCUAACGCGAUAAGUAGACCGCCUGGGGAGUACGGUCGCAAGACUAAAACUCAAAUGAAUUGACGGGG
rnacentral:rRNA from 1 species